CCCUUAGAUGUUCUGGGCGGCCCGCGCACUACAAUGGCGCGUUCGUCGAGAACCAAGGUUGAAUUAUUCGAGGUAUUCUUGCAAAACGCGUCUUGAUUGGGAUAGAUCCUUGUAAUUGUUGGUCUUGAACGAGGAAUUCCUUGUAAGCGUGGUUUAUCAUCCCACGUUGAAUGCGUCCCUGCCCUUUGUACACACCGCCCGUCGCUCCUACCGAUGAAUUGUCCGGUGAAAUCUCGGGACGGCGGCUUGGUCGCUUGCGUCCGACUGCUGAAACUUGAUUAAACCAUAUCAUUUAGAGGAAGGUGAAGUCGUAACA
rnacentral:rRNA from 1 species